rnacentral:rRNA from 1 species
AAAAACAUCGCCUCUUGAUCACAUAUAAGAGGUCCAGCCUGCCCAGUGACUCUGUUUAACGGCCGCGGUAUCCUAACCGUGCGAAGGUAGCGUAAUCACUUGUUCUUUAAAUAAGGACUUGUAUGAAUGGCACCACGAGGGUUAUACUGUCUCCUUUUUCUAAUCAGUGAAACUAAUCUCCCCGUGAAGAAGCGGGGAUGAAAGUAUAAGACGAGAAGACCCUAUGGAGCUUUAAACUCAAUGACAAUUACUAUCUACUACUAAACUUCAAGAAUAUAAACCUUUAUUUUAGUAUUAUGUCUAUUAGUUUUAGGUUGGGGUGACCGCGGAGCAAAAAUCAACCUCCACAUUGAACGGGACUAGUCCCUGAGCAAAAAGCUACAACUUUAAGCACCAAUAAAUUGACAUCAAUUGACCCAAUAUUUUGAUCAACGAACCAAGUUACCCUAGGGAUAACAGCGCAAUCCACUUCAAGAGCUCCUAUCGACAAGUGGGUUUACGACCUCGAUGUUGGAUCAGGGUAUCCCAGUGGUGCAGCCGCUACUAAAGGUUCGUUUGUUC